rnacentral:rRNA from 1 species
AUGUCAGGGCUCACCGCUAUUAACGAUGAACUUUUCUUCCCAAUUGAAAGUGCUUUACAACCCUAAGGCCUUCUUCACACACGCGGCAUGGCUGCGUCAGGCUUUCGCCCAUUGCGCAAUAUUCCCC